CAGCCGCCGCGGUAAUACGAAGGGGGCUAGCGUUGUUCGGAUUUACUGGGCGUAAAGGGUGCGUAGGCGGACUGAUAAGUCAGGGGUGAAAUCCCAAGGCUCAACCUUGGAACUGCCUUUGAUACUGUUAGUCUUGAGUUCGAGAGAGGUGGGUGGAACUGCGAGUGUAGAGGUGAAAUUCGUAGAUAUUCGCAAGAACACCCGUGGCGAAGGCGGCUCACUGGCUCGAAACUGACGCUGAGGCACGAAAGCGUGGGGAGCAAACAGGAUUAGAUACCCCAGUAGUCCCUGUCUCUUAUAC
rnacentral:rRNA from 1 species